rnacentral:rRNA from 1 species
GACGAACGCUGGCGGUAUGCUUAACACAUGCAAGUCGAACGAGACAAGAUGGAAUGAUCCUUCGGGUGAAUGAAAUCUUAGAAAGUGGCGAACGGGUGAGUAACGCGUGGGUAACCUGCCCUAUGGAAAGGAAUAGCCUCGGGAAACUGGGAGUAAUGCCUUAUAGUAUAUAGAAGUCGCAUGGCUUUUAUAUGAAACGCGCCGGUGCCAUAGGAUGGACCCGCGUCCCAUUAGCUAGUUGGUGAGAUAACAGCUCACCAAGGCGACGAUGGGUAACCGGUCUGAGAUGUCGGACGGUCACACGGGAACAGAGACACGGUCCAGACUCCUACGGGAGGCAGCAGUGGGGAAUAUUGCGCAAUGGGGGAAACCCUGACGCAGCAAUACCGCGUGAGUGAAGAAGGUUUUCGGGUCGUAAAGCCCUGUUAUUGGGGAAGAAAAAAGACGGUACCCAAGGAGAAAGUUCCGGCUAACUACGUGCCAGCCGCCGCAGUAA